AAAAUCUCUGGUUAUUCAAAUAAAAUCUGUGGUUAAAUUAGUCAACUUUGAUAUUUAUUUGAAAUUUGGUUUAGGACUUAUGUAUGAACUAGGUUUGCUGUGUUUCUGUGUAAAUUUUUUGUAUCUAUACUACUAAUUGAAUUAUUGAAGAAAGUGUUUAAAAAUGUAAUUGUUCUACCUUUGUAGGUUUUACAGAAUGUUCUUAAUCACAGUAAUAAAAUUUCUCUAUGCAUGCCUGAGUCUCAGCAGCAAAAUACUCCUCCGAAGUCUGAGAAAAAUGGUGGCAGCAGCCCAGAGAGUGAUGUAGGCACAGAUAACAAGUUAACUCCUCCAGAAUCCCAGUCACCACUGCACUGGUUAGCAGAUCUUGCAGAGCAAAAAGCCAGAGAGGAAAAAAAAGAAAACAAAGAACUUACCCUUGAAAACCAAAUUAAAGAAGAAAGAGAACAAGACAACUCUGAAUCUCCAAAUGGCAGAACAUCACCUCUUGUGUCCCAGAAUAAUGAACAAGGCUCAACCUUACGGGAUUUGCUGACUACAACAGCUGGAAAGCUACGUGUGGGGUCUACAGAUGCUGGCAUUGCCUUUGCCCCAGUAUAUUCAAUGGGAGCCCCAAGUAGCAAAAGUGGACGGACUAUGCCUAACAUUCUUGAUGACAUAAUUGCUUCAGUUGUUGAAAACAAAAUUCCACCAAGUAAAACCUCCAAGAUAAAUGUAAAACCAGAGCUUAAAGAAGAGCCUGAAGAAAGCAUAAUAUCUGCAGUGGAUGAAAAUA
rnacentral:sRNA from 1 species